CAGGAUCGAUCCCACAUGACCUCCAUCGCAUUCUUACCUCCUACUCCCCCACCCACACUUGUUGUACUAAGAUUCACUCAUGCAUGCAGUUGCACACGGCGUUCUUCGUUUUGCUUGUUAGAUGCAUGCCUCCUCCACAGGAUGAGAACAGAAAGACGAAGGAAUAAAGCUCAGCCAUCGAUCGAGCUGCUGCGGGAAGGAGUCGCUUCACAGUCUGAGCCAUAAGGUCAUCUUCCCAAAAGGUUCCGAGUUCAUACGCAGGAACCGAGGGCGCAGUGUAGGCAUAUGCUGCAGAUGUCGUCGUUGAUCAACGAGUCAAGGAAGGAGGAGAAGAUGUCAUCAGUGUUCAGCGUGUCGGAGAAAUUUUUCUGGGUAUCCUCUGCUCGGAGGAGGGUGGGAGCGGUGCUGGGGAUUGCGCUAGGGUUAGGGUUACGGUAUAGCUGUGGUGAAAUAGGCU